AGCUGGAUCUGGAGGUGACGAGCGGGGGACGGGUGAGUAAUGUCUGGGAAACUGCCUGAUGGAGGGGGAUAACUACUGGAAACGGUAGCUAAUACCGCAUAACGUCGCAAGACCAAAGUGGGGGACCUUCGGGCCUCAUGCCAUCAGAUGUGCCCAGAUGGGAUUAGCUAGUAGGUGGGGUAACGGCUCACCUAGGCGACGAUCCCUAGCUGGUCUGAGAGGAUGACCAGCCACACUGGAACUGAGACACGGUCCAGACUCCUACGGGAGGCAGCAGUGGGGAAUAUUGCACAAUGGGCGCAAGCCUGAUGCAGCCAUGCCGCGUGUGUGAAGAAGGCCUUCGGGUUGUAAAGCACUUUCAGCGGGGAGGAAGGCGGUGAGGUUAAUAACCUUGGCGAUUGACGUUACCCGCAGAAGAAGCACCGGCUAACUCCGUGCCAGCAGCCGCGGUAAUACGGAGGGUGCAAGCGUUAAUCGGAAUUACUGGGCGUAAAGCGCACGCAGGCGGUCUGUCAAGUCGGAUGUGAAAUCCCCGGGCUUAACCUGGGAACUGCAUUCCAAACUGGCAGGCUAUAGUCUUGUAGAGGGGGGUAGAAUUCCAGGUGGAGCGGUGAAAUGCGUACAACAUCUUGAAGGAAUACCGGAUUGCCAAGGCGGGCCCCCGG
rnacentral:rRNA from 1 species